rnacentral:rRNA from 1 species
UACGUAGGGUGCAAGCGUUUGUCCGGAAUUAUUGGGCGUAAAGAGCUCGUAGGCGGCUUGUCACGUCGACUGUGAAAACCCGGGGCUCAACUCCGGGCCUGCAGUCGAUACGGGCUGGCUUGAGUGCGGUAGGGGAGACUGGAAUUCCUGGUGUAGCGGUGAAAUGCGCAGAUAUCAGGAGGAACACCGGUGGCGAAGGCGGGUCUCUGGGCCGAUACUGACGCUGAGGAGCGAAAGCGUGGGGAGCGAACAGG